UACGGAGGUGGCAAGCGUUAUCCGGAAUUAUUGGGCGUAAAGCGCGCGCAGGUGGAUUCUUAAGUCUGAUGUGAAAGCCCACGGCUCAACCGUGGAGGGGCAGUGGAAACUGGGAGGCUUGAGUGCAGGAGAGGUAGGUGGAAUUCCAAGUGUAGCGGUGAAAUGCGUAGAGAUUUGGAGGAACACCAGUGGCGAAGGCGCCUUUCUGGCCUGUAACUGACACUGAGGGGCGAAAGCGUGGGGAGCAAACAGG
rnacentral:rRNA from 1 species